rnacentral:rRNA from 1 species
AUUGAACGCUGGCGGCAGGCUUAACACAUGCAAGUCGAACGAGUGGCGGACGGGCGAGUAAUGUAUGGGAAACUGCCAGAUGGAGGGGGAUAACUACUGGAAACGGUAGCUAAUACCGCAUACCAUCGGAUGUGCCCAGAUGGGAUUAGCUAGUAGGUGGGGUAAAGGCUCACCUAGGCGACGAUCCCUAGCUGGUCUGAGAGGAUGACCAGCCACACUGGAACUGAGACACGGUCCAGACUCAUACGGGAGGCAGCAGUGGGGAAUAUUGCACAAUGGGCGCAAGCCUGAUGCAGCCAUGCCGCGUGUAUGAAGAAGGCCUUCGGGUUGUAAAGUACUUUCAGCGGGGAGGCGUUACCCGCAGAAGAAGCACCGGCUAACUCCGUGCCAGCAGCCGCGGUAAUUC